UUAAAACGACGUCGUUU
rnacentral:sRNA from 1 species